AUUGAACGCUGGCGGCAGGCUUAACACAUGCAAGUCGAGCGGGGAAGGUUGCUUCGGUAACUGACCUAGCGGCGGACGGGUGAGUAAUGCUUAGGAAUCUGCCUAUUAGUGGGGGACAACAUUCCGAAAGGAAUGCUAAUACCGCAUACGCCCUACGGGGGAAAGCAGGGGAUCUUCGGACCUUGCGCUAAUAGAUGAGCCUAAGUCGGAUUAGCUAGUUGGUGGGGUAAAGGCCUACCAAGGCGACGAUCUGUAGCGGGUCUGAGAGGAUGAUCCGCCACACUGGGACUGAGACACGGCCCAGACUCCUACGGGAGGCAGCAGUGGGGAAUAUUGGACAAUGGGCGGAAGCCUGAUCCAGCCAUGCCGCGUGUGUGAAGAAGGCCUUUUGGUUGUAAAGCACUUUAAGCGAGGAGGAGGCUCCUUUAGUUAAUACCUAAAGUGAGUGGACGUUACUCGCAGAAUAAGCACCGGCUAACUCUGUG
rnacentral:rRNA from 1 species